rnacentral:rRNA from 1 species
UACGAACCGUACAAGCGUUAUUCGGAAUCACUGGGCUUAAAGCGCGCGUAGGCGGCUACUUAAGUCGGAUGGGAAAGCCCCUGGCUCAACUGGGGAAGUGCACCCGAAACUGAGUGGCUUGAGUGCGAAAGAGGGUCGCGGAAUUCCCGGUGUAGAGGUGAAAUUCGUAGAUAUCGGGAGGAACACCGGUGGCGAAGGCGGCGACCUGGGUCGACACUGACGCUGAGGCGCGAAAGCGUGGGGAGCAAACAGG